rnacentral:rRNA from 1 species
AUUGAACGCUGGCGGCAGGCCUAACACAUGCAAGUCGAACGAGUGGCGGACGGGUGAGUAAUAUCUGGGAACCUGCCCUGUAGAGGGGGAUAACUACUGGAAAGUGUGGCUAAUACCGCAUACUAUUGGAUGGGCCCAUAUGGGAUUAGCUCGUAGGUGGGGUAAAGGCUCACCUAGGCCACGAUCCCUAGCUGGUUUGAGAGGACGACCAGCCACACUGGAACUGAGACACGGUCCAGACUCCUACGGGAGGCAGCAGUGGGGAAUAUUGCACAAUGGGCGCAAGCCUGAUGCAGCCAUGCCGCGUGUAUGAAGAAGGCCUUCGGGUUGUAAAGUACUUUCAGCGGGGAGGCGUUACCCGCAGAAGAAGCACCGGCUAACUCCGUGCCAGCAGCCGCGGUAAUAC